CGGAUGGUUUUUCAUUUUAAAUGAUGUUGCUGCCAGACAGGUCAGUACCUGGCCACCAGUGUGGCCGCGUGUUGGUUUUUGGUACGUCCGGUGUAUAUAUAGGGGUUGCUGCUGUCGGCAAAUAAUUUUCCGGUGCAGGCGCAUUUAUUGGACCCAAUGGGGCAGCUGCCAGGCGAUGCAUGAGGGGCUGUUGUAGAUGAGAGACUGCAGC